AUGUUUUAUUUAAUGAUUAACCACUGCAACAGUCGAUUGAUCAAUCUUACCGUUAAAUUGUUGGAUCAUUUAACAGGACUAAAUAGACUAUAGUCAGGAGCCUGUAAUUCACUGGUUUGUUGUUGUGUUACAUAUUUGUUUUUCGUUGUAUAUAAAUCAGGUUGUUAGUUUUCUACUUUGAAUUGUUUUACUUUUUGUCUUUUCGGG
rnacentral:lncRNA from 1 species